rnacentral:rRNA from 1 species
CCUACGGGUGUCAGCAGUAGGGAAUAUUGCUCAAUGGUGGAAACCCUGACGCAGCAACGCCGCGUGGAGGAUGAAGGUUUUCGGAUUGUAAACUCCUUUUGUUAGAGAAGAUAAUGACGGUAUCUAACGACUACGCACCGGCUAACUCCGUGCCAGCCGCCGCGGUCAUACGGAGGGUGCAAGCGUUACUCGGAAUCACUGGGCGUAAAGAGCUCGUAGGCGGUAUGUCAAGUCAAGGGGGAAAUCCCCGCGCUCAACGUGGGAACUGCCUUUGAAACUGGCAAACUGGAGUGUGUGAGAGGAUAGUGGAAUUCCAGGUGUAGGAGUGAAAUCCGUAGAUAUCUGGAGGAACAUCAGUGGCGAAGGCGACUAUCUGGCACAUAACUGACGCUGAGGAGCGAAAGCGUGGGUAGCAAACAGGAUUAGAUACCCCAGUAGUC